CGACGACGUGUUCGUCAACUCGUUCCAUGAGCUCGAGACCAAGUCAGAAGUAUUGGCUCCUGCUGUGAAAGGUACUUCAAAUGUGCUAAAGGCUUGCUCGGCUAUGAAGGUUCAGAAGAUUUUUCUAUUCGCUGUUGCAAAGGAGUCCUCGAAAUUCCUGCCCAUCUUGAAGGAAACAGCAAAAUCAUUGAAGGGAAAGGUACUUUGUUCUGUUGAUCGGA